rnacentral:lncRNA from 1 species
AGCGAGCCUGAGUGAGUGGUCCGAUUUCAGGUCCUAUGAACAGCCCAAUGGUUGGAGCGCUAGGGGUGGCCAAGGGAAGGUGUGCAACUUUUCCAAAUUCUUCAAUAAUUGUCUGCUUCUAAGUGAAAUCACACAAAAACGAAUCUGUAGCACACAGUAGGACGUUACAUGUCAAAAUAUAUUUUAAAUAAUAGGAUGAUUACAGAAGAUUUUGAAAGUGUAGAACUACUCAGAUUCUGCCAAUAAACAAUCCUUUCAAGUUUUUAACUAAAAAUAUCUCGUUAAUAUCAGCCUCUAAGCUAUCUUUUUCUAAAAAAUCAAUCAAUUAGAGAGUCCAAUUAAAAAACAGCAAAAAUUAGAUUUAAAUCCACAACAAACUAAGAGCAGUACAUAUGUUUGCAGAAUCCUUACACAAUGGGAGAACCGUGUGGCUCAAGUAGCGGCUCUGCCAUAUCCGUUGCAGCAAAUAUGGUUACAGUUUCCCUGGGAACCGAAACUGAUGGAUCAAUAUUGUGCCCUUCUACUCUCAACUCAGUAGUUGGCAUCAAACCCACAGUAGGUCUCACAAGUCGAGCAGGGGUCGUUCCGAUCUCUUUGAGGCAGGACACUGUAGGGUAAUCAAUUUGUUUCUGAUGAAUUGUUGCUAUUUAUUUAAGUAUCCAAAGGAAGUAUUUUCUGCUGAAUGAGUUAUGAUGGAACAGGCCUAUUUGUAGAACAGUAGCAGAUGCAGCUUAUGUUCUAGAUGCCAUUGCGGGACCAGACAGAUAUGAUAAUUCAACAAUUGAAGCAUCAAAAUAUGUUCCAAAAGGUGGAUAUGGUCAAUUUCUAAAGGAAGAUGGGCUGAAAGGAAAGAGAAUAGGAAUCGUGAGAAAAUUGUAUGAUUUUGGCCAUGAUGAUGUGUUCUACAUUGGAGCUUUUGAGAAAGUUUUCAAAACCCUGAAGUAAGAAAUCAAACUCACUUUUCAUAAACCAUUUCUUAAUAACUCAUGUUAGAGGUUUUUAACCAACUCUUUUGUCUUCAAUAACAUGAAAGGCAAGGAGGAGCAAUAUUGGUAGACAAUUUGACGAUCAACAGCUUUCAUGUAAUCACUGGCAGUUCAAGUGGAGAGUGGACUGCAGUGCUUGCUGAGUUCAAAAUAUCUAUAAAUGUAUACCUCAAACAGCUAGUUGCAUCUCCAAUUCGAUCCCUGUCAGAUGCAAUAGAAUUCAACAGAAAGAACUCAAAACUUGUGAGCAAUUAUCAUCUAUUAUGUUCUAAUUUUACAAUCAACAUAGCAAAAAGCGGACUAUCAUAACAUUGCAAUCUUGUCAUAAGUAGGAAAAGCUAAAGGAGUAUGGUCAGGAGUUAUUUCUAGAAGCAGAGGCAACAAAAGGAAUCGGAGGUGCAGAAAAGGCAGCAUUAGCCAGAUUAGCAAAACUGUCGAAAGAGGGAUUUGAGAGAUUGAUGAUUAAGAAUAAGCUUGAUGCAAUAGCAGCUCCUGGUCGGUUAAUCUCUCAUUUUCUUGCAAUUGGAGGUUUUCCUGGAGUUAGUGUACCAGCUGGAUAUAACCCUCAAGGGCUUCCCUUUGGCAUUGGCUUUGGAGGAUUAAAAGGGUUCGAGCCAAGGUUGAUAGAGAUUGCAUAUGGGUUUGAGCAUUUGACUAUGGGUAGAAAGUCCCCUUCACUUGGGAGACAUUAAAAGUGAUUCAACCACGGAUGAAAUUUUUUAGGACAGACUUUGAUAAGUUUACCAGAAGCAAUUAGAAUGGCAAUUGUUUAUCUUUAUGAUAAAGCUACACGCUUCAAUAAGUAGUAAAAUGUUUCCAUUAAUUUAAUACAUUCUCUUUUGAUAUUUUGGCACGUGAAAUGAACUGUACACUUGUUUAACUUGUCCAGAGGUUCUGUAGAAAGAACGACAUGCUCCAGUGAGUUAGCCAGCAAUGCAAUACGUAGCCUAAUGGUUCAAGAUUUACUGACCAAACAUUCAUUCAUCUACAAGCACUGAACAAGCAUCAACACUGUCUUUCACAACAACCAUCCCCCCUUGAGAUAAAAAACUAAUUUUAUUAUUCAAAUCGCUUAAAAAGAAACAACAUCUAUCUGUGGAGUUCAGGGUACUCAACAGCCACACAAUUCUUCCUCAUUCCAAACUUCAUUAUGGCUAAUUUCUCUAACUCUAGAUGAAGAAAGGAAGCCCUGCUAGUAAACCUGUUCUGCAUAACCUCUAACCAUCUUUUACAAUUAUGAGAAUUGAUCAUCAUUGAUCCUUCGUUCGUUUCUAAUGAACCUAGAUAUGUAUAAUUAAUAUGUUUCCCGAUCCAUAUGGAUCGUCUGCCAACAAAAUGCUGUUCUAUAUUGAAAGAGCCUUCAGCUAAAUCAAUAUCUCAUGCCCAUUAGUGUCUUUCCUAAAUUAUGCUCAGAUUGACCAACCUUUUUUCUUAUAACCAAAAUGAUAUUCAUUAUAUAAAUCCAUUUUCUCUACAAUGCAUUUCCAUCUUAUUAAGACAAAUUCACUUUUAACGCAUUUGCAUUUGCAUUGGUAAAAUGGAUUCAAAGACUGAGUUGGAAUUGACUUUCAACGGUAAUAUUGAUAUAGAAAACUCCAUGAAAGGAAGGCCAGAGGUGAAUCCAAGCUAUUGUUAACUUUCCAUUUCAAAAUAAACAUAAUUCAUAUUACAAAUAUAACAAAUUACAAAACUUCAUUACCAUUCCUAAUCAGCAGAUACAAUUAAAUUGCAAGAACCAUCGGUUUCAAUCACGCAGUAUAAGAAUCAAGAACCAGUUCCACAACAUUCAAUAUCAGGAAAAUGACAAGGAACAUGGAGAUUACCAAGCUAGCGAUGGGGGUUCUCGUCCUCUUCCUCUCCGCCAUAUCUGCGCGUUCCGAGUACUACUCCAAAACUGUCCCAAGGGUUCAGUUAAAGGAGAAGGUAACCAAUCUCCAUUUCUUCCUUUUCGACAUCCUGAGCGGGAAAAAAC